GUGGGGAAUCUUAGACAAUGGGCGCAAGCCUGAUCUAGCCAUGCCGCGUGAGCGAUGAAGGCCUUAGGGUUGUAAAGCUCUUUCGUGGGGGAAGAUAAUGACUGUACCCCAAGAAGAAGCCCCGGCUAACUCCGUGCCAGCAGCCGCGGUAAUACGGAGGGGGCUAGCGUUGUUCGGAAUUACUGGGCGUAAAGCGCACGUAGGCGGAUUGGAAAGUUGGGGGUGAAAUCCCGGGGCUCAACCCCGGAACUGCCUUCAAAACUCCCAGUCUUGAGUUCGAGAGAGGUGAGUGGAAUUCCGAGUGUAGAGGUGAAAUUCGUAGAUAUUCGGAGGAACACCAGUGGCGAAGGCGGCUCACUGGCUCGAUACUGACGCUGAGGUGCGAAAGCGUGGGGAGCAAACAGGAUUAGAUACCCCGGUAGUCC
rnacentral:rRNA from 1 species